GACGAACGCUGGCGGCGUGCUUAAUACAUGCAAGUCGAACGGACAGGCCCGGCUUUUGCGGCGUGCUCGAUUGGCGCGCGCGUGAGUAACACGUGAGUAACCUGCCCUUGUCUUUGGGGUAACUUCACGAGAAUCGGGCUCAUACCGGAUAUGAGCUCCUGCUGCAUGGGGGGGUUUGGUGAGAUUUGGCGGUUCUGGAUCGACUGGCGGCUUAUCCGCUUGUUGGUGUGGUAGUGGCUUACCAAGGCUGUGACGGGUAGCCGGCAUGAGAGGGGGACCGGCCACAUUGGGACUGCGAUACGGACCAGACUCGUACGGGAGGCAGCAGUGGGGAAUAUGGCAGAACGGGCGGAAGCGUGAUGCAGCAAGUCCGCGUGCGGGAUGACGGGCUUCGGGGUGUAAACCGCUUUCGCCUGUGACGAAGCGGGAGUGACGGUAAUGGGUAAAGAAGCAACGGCUAACUACGUG
rnacentral:rRNA from 1 species